AAACACAACUCAUUGAUGUAUUGUAGGGACAUUUAAUAAUUAAUAUUAUAAUUUCUGAAAGAAUUUCUUACUGGAUAAGUACUAAAAACUAUUUAAUUGAUGAGAAUACAAACUCAAUAAAUUAUACAAAGUUUUAAAAACCAUUUGUUACGUGUAAAUUGAGGAAAUAUGGCUACAAUUGUCAAGUUUAUUAUCUUUCUUUCCAUAUUUUUUGUUGCAAAUUUCAAUACAAGUAAGUGUUUUUUAUCCAUUAAUUUCAAAUUUCUUUUCUUACGUUGUACUUAAUAUUUUAUUUCAUUUUAAUUAUACUCUUCUAUUCUCUUUUUUCGUUACAGAUAUUAGAUGUUCAAAGCAUAUAUCAUGUCCAUCAAAUGCAUGUCCACUUAAUUAUUUUACAAGGUGUUAUAACAAUCGUUGCAAUUGUAUUAAAGUGUGGCAAGAAGAUAUCUAAGCCCAUAUGAUAAUAUCUUUACCAGGGGAUUGGAAUGUUUCUUUUCGGCAUAGAGAGUAAUGAAUGUGUCGAUUGGCUUGCGAAGACUUGAGUCUCCUGCAAUGAUAUUUUAAAAAUUUGGAAUAAUUGUCCUCCUCAACUCAGUCUCGUGUUGAUGGAUGAUGUUGUAGGUGUUGCUCGUCCAAUAGCUUAGUUUCUUUUCUCUUUUUGUUCUUGUGUUAUUUGUUUUAUUUUCCAUCUCAUAAAAAAAUAAUGUAUUUGGUUUUUGUUAUUUUAUUGGCACCCGAUAUAUUUUUUUUUUUUAAUUUAAAGAACAUGUGGUUAUGUUAUGACUUUGUAAUCUAAGAUGAUGGUAAUGAAAUAAGGUGCAGCAAAGAAUAUUAUUUAAGUUGUCUUUUCUCCUAAUUUUAUAGAUAUCGUUAUUACCUUCAAAUUUGCACAUAUCACAUUUUCUUUCAAACUCUACCCACCUAUCAAAACAUCUUUAAAAUAGUUA
rnacentral:lncRNA from 1 species